rnacentral:misc_RNA from 1 species
GAACGCACAUUGCGCCUGCUGGUAUUCCGGUAGGCAUGCCUGUUUGAGCGUCAGCAAAAACCUCUCAGUAGUACUUUAUUGUAAUGCUGGUUAUGGGUGCAGAGGAAUGGUUGCAUUCGUGCAACCGCUCUCACUUUAAACUUGCUGCACGACCGCAAGCUAAUGCUAGGUUAAUGGAGUGGUAUUUAUUUAAAUUCCAGCAACUGUUCAAUAGCUUAUGGCGUUAAAAUUGAUGUCGUCUAACCGCGACUGAAGUUUGACCUCAAAUCAGACAAGGAUACCCGCUGAACUUAAG